rnacentral:rRNA from 1 species
UUAAGCGACUAAGCGUACACGGUGGAUGCCCUGGCAGUCAGAGGCGAUGAAGGACGUGCUAAUCUGCGAUAAGCGUCGGUAAGGUGAUAUGAACCGUUAUAACCGGCGAUUUCCGAAUGGGGAAACCCAGUGUGUUUCGACACACUAUCAUUAACUGAAUCCAUAGGUUAAUGAGGCGAACCGGGGGAACUGAAACAUCUAAGUACCCCGAGGAAAAGAAAUCAACCGAGAUUCCCCCAGUAGCGGCGAGCGAACGGGGAGCAGCCCAGAGCCUGAAUCAGUGUGUGUGUUAGUGGAAGCGUCUGGAAAGGCGCGCGAUACAGGGUGACAGCCCCGUACACAAAAAUGCACAUGCUGUGAGCUCGAUGAGUAGGGCGGGACACGUGGUAUCCUGUCUGAAUAUGGGGGGACCAUCCUCCAAGGCUAAAUACUCCUGACUGACCGAUAGUGAACCAGUACCGUGAGGGAAAGGCGAAAAGAACCCCGGCGAGGGGAGUGAAAAAGAACCUGAAACCGUGUACGUACAAGCAGUGGGAGCACGCUUAGGCGUGUGACUGCGUACCUUUUGUAUAAUGGGUCAGCGACUUAUAUUCUGUAGCAAGGUUAACCGAAUAGGGGAGCCGAAGGGAAACCGAGUCUUAACUGGGCGUUAAGUUGCAGGGUAUAGACCCGAAACCCGGUGAUCUAGCCAUGGGCAGGUUGAAGGUUGGGUAACACUAACUGGAGGACCGAACCGACUAAUGUUGAAAAAUUAGCGGAUGACUUGUGGCUGGGGGUGAAAGGCCAAUCAAACCGGGAGAUAGCUGGUUCUCCCCGAAAGCUAUUUAGGUAGCGCCUCGUGAAUUCAUCUCCGGGGGUAGAGCACUGUUUCGGCAAGGGGGUCAUCCCGACUUACCAACCCGAUGCAAACUGCGAAUACCGGAGAAUGUUAUCACGGGAGACACACGGCGGGUGCUAACGUCCGUCGUGAAGAGGGAAACAACCCAGACCGCCAGCUAAGGUCCCAAAGUCAUGGUUAAGUGGGAAACGAUGUGGGAAGGCCCAGACAGCCAGGAUGUUGGCUUAGAAGCAGCCAUCAUUUAAAGAAAGCGUAAUAGCUCACUGGUCGAGUCGGCCUGCGCGGAAGAUGUAACGGGGCUAAACCAUGCACCGAAGCUGCGGCAGCGACGCUUAUGCGUUGUUGGGUAGGGGAGCGUUCUGUAAGCCUGCGAAGGUGUGCUGUGAGGCAUGCUGGAGGUAUCAGAAGUGCGAAUGCUGACAUAAGUAACGAUAAAGCGGGUGAAAAGCCCGCUCGCCGGAAGACCAAGGGUUCCUGUCCAACGUUAAUCGGGGCAGGGUGAGUCGACCCCUAAGGCGAGGCCGAAAGGCGUAGUCGAUGGGAAACAGGUUAAUAUUCCUGUACUUGGUGUUACUGCGAAGGGGGGACGGAGAAGGCUAUGUUGGCCGGGCGACGGUUGUCCCGGUUUAAGCGUGUAGGCUGGUUUUCCAGGCAAAUCCGGAAAAUCAAGGCUGAGGCGUGAUGACGAGGCACUACGGUGCUGAAGCAACAAAUGCCCUGCUUCCAGGAAAAGCCUCUAAGCAUCAGGUAACAUCAAAUCGUACCCCAAACCGACACAGGUGGUCAGGUAGAGAAUACCAAGGCGCUUGAGAGAACUCGGGUGAAGGAACUAGGCAAAAUGGUGCCGUAACUUCGGGAGAAGGCACGCUGAUAUGUAGGUGAAGUCCCUUGCGGAUGGAGCUGAAAUCAGUCGAAGAUACCAGCUGGCUGCAACUGUUUAUUAAAAACACAGCACUGUGCAAACACGAAAGUGGACGUAUACGGUGUGACGCCUGCCCGGUGCCGGAAGGUUAAUUGAUGGGGUUAGCGGUAACGCGAAGCUCUUGAUCGAAGCCCCGGUAAACGGCGGCCGUAACUAUAACGGUCCUAAGGUAGCGAAAUUCCUUGUCGGGUAAGUUCCGACCUGCACGAAUGGCGUAAUGAUGGCCAGGCUGUCUCCACCCGAGACUCAGUGAAAUUGAACUCGCUGUGAAGAUGCAGUGUACCCGCGGCAAGACGGAAAGACCCCGUGAACCUUUACUAUAGCUUGACACUGAACAUUGAGCCUUGAUGUGUAGGAUAGGUGGGAGGCUUUGAAGUGUGGACGCCAGUCUGCAUGGAGCCGACCUUGAAAUACCACCCUUUAAUGUUUGAUGUUCUAACGUUGACCCGUAAUCCGGGUUGCGGACAGUGUCUGGUGGGUAGUUUGACUGGGGCGGUCUCCUCCUAAAGAGUAACGGAGGAGCACGAAGGUUGGCUAAUCCUGGUCGGACAUCAGGAGGUUAGUGCAAUGGCAUAAGCCAGCUUGACUGCGAGCGUGACGGCGCGAGCAGGUGCGAAAGCAGGUCAUAGUGAUCCGGUGGUUCUGAAUGGAAGGGCCAUCGCUCAACGGAUAAAAGGUACUCCGGGGAUAACAGGCUGAUACCGCCCAAGAGUUCAUAUCGACGGCGGUGUUUGGCACCUCGAUGUCGGCUCAUCACAUCCUGGGGCUGAAGUAGGUCCCAAGG